UUGUGUGUUCGCUCGCGCUGUGUUGAAGAUUUUUCCUGCGUAACAUUUUCCGCCGCUUGAUGCGCGCAGGAAAAAAAGGCACAAGAAAGCCGUAUAAUGGAAAAUUAAGCGUUGCAAAAAAAAACCAAUCAAGCAAUAGUGUGUGCCGCACGAGACACGGUGAAAAUGGUAUGCGCGAUUUGUUCGUUCGUCGUGUGUGCGUCUGUACGUCGCGAUUCGGAUACAAGUGCUUUGCCACCGAGGUUUUGAUUGGCGUCUCGCGGCGUCUGAGCUGAGAAUCGUACGCGUGUGCGUGCGUGUGUUUCCGCGUGUGUAUGUGUGUUUGAAUGCGAGUGCGUGAAUGAUCCUGAAUUUGCCGUGCACAAGCAAUGGCGUUCGAUGGGUGCGUUCUCGGAACUAGCAGCAUCGGGUGCGAAUGAAUAGAGGGAAAAGAGUAUAAAAAUAACAAAACAAAGCAGCCGAUGUGCGGUGAUUUCGUGGCAAUACAGUGCGGUAGUGUGAUCAUAGCCAUAUCGGUGCAGUGAGCAAAGUGUGCAAAGGAAAACAUCUCACUGGCGGUGUGUGCAAACCCGAUGAGCAAUAAAAAAAAGGCAAGAAAAUUAAGUGCAAAAAUAUUCUUACCCAGAAAAUGUGAAUGAAAAGGUGCUCUCCCAGUGCAUAUAUGUUUGGCCGGCGUGAGCGUGCAUAUAUGCAUCCAUAAGAUUGAGCAUACUGCGUGCAAAAAAAAGAAGAACGGGGAAGUGAGCAGUGAGAAUAUUUUCCCCGGCACAGUGAAAUUGCAUUCUGUGAGCACACGAUCACACGAUCUCGAAUUGCGAGCGUGAGCAAAGAAGAGCGAGUGCAGGAGCGUCAGGUGAAAUUGUCGCACAAGUAAGUGCCCGAAUGAAGUGCAUUGCGUCUGAAGUGCACACGCAAUAAGCGUGUUCUGUGUGUUUGUGUGUGUGUGUGCAUGUGUGUGUUACGCCCUCGCGACUCUUUUCGAGCUCUGCGGGUCCAUCAUUAGUGAGUGCAUUAGGCGCACUCAUUGAUUAGCAUCGUCUGGUGAUUAUCGUGCGCUAGGAAAAGAAAAGAAACCACAAAAGCCACCAGUGAUUGUUGUGGCGACCAGUACGUGUACAUCGAUACAUUCCACCGACCGGUACGACAAACGAUUCAUUACAGACGGCGCGCCAUUUGAAAACGAAACAAACGCAAAACAAAAACUGGACGAACCUUUUGCAGCUUAUGAUAAUGAGCAACGAUGGAUUUUACCCUUAGCGGCACAGAUUUGGAAUAUUCUAUGAAUGUUUUACAAGAAGCUGCUGCCUGCCCGUUAGACGCCGUUAGUUAGCUCGAAGAGACCCCACGAGCUACACGAGAAAAGUCUGUCUGCGGCCGUGGAAGAUGAUGCAGUUAGUACCGUUGGAGCAGCAGCAAUUGGACGAACAGCAACGGCAACACCACCGAGUACGUCGGGAGCAUCCGGAGGCCGACUGCAACUGCAACCGCAACACAGCCCCGGCAAGGAACGCUCGCCACCAGAGUCAUCAUCAUCAUCAGCAGCAGCAGCAGCAGCAGCAUCAUUAUCGGCGGGGGCCCCGUCGUCAGUGUCGUGACCGUGCCG